rnacentral:rRNA from 1 species
UACGGAGGGUGCAAGCGUUGCUCGGAAUCAUUGGGCGUAAAGCGCGUGUAGGCGGUUGUCUAAGUCUGAUGUGAAAUCCCGGGGCUCAACCCCGGAACUGCAUCGGAUACUGGACAGCUAGAGGAUGAGAGAGGAUGGUGGAAUUCCAGGUGUAGGGGUGAAAUCCGUAGAUAUCUGGAGGAACAUCGGUGGCGAAGGCGGCCAUCUGGCUCAUUUCUGACGCUGAGACGCGAAAGCGUGGGGAGCAAACAGG